AGAGGUGACUCAACAAUAUUUAGAUAGGGACUAAGGAGGAGAAUUGGAGGGGUGGUUUGUCAUCUACUUGGGGAACACAUGUGAGCAAUAAGAGGGGGUUGUGGGGGAAGGCUGGGAAUUGUGGGCAUGGGAGAGAUCUUACAUUAGCAUCAAAGGUGUUCAUGCUAGUGAUUAAAUUAUGCAACAUAAUUUUUUGGUUUUGUUUUGUUUUUUUUUUGUUUUUUUGCGUUUGUUACUUGUGUAAAAUUCAAAUUUUUUUACUUUUUCGAUUCUUCUCGUUGAGAUGAACCCAUGUCACAUAAAAGUGUGACAUAAAACUAACAAAUACGAAAAAAAACUUUAAAUAGGGACAAAACAAAAAAAUUCUAGUGCGUAAGUAUAUCACUAGUGCGAGCGGGAUGCAAGCUUUGAAGGGAAAAAAGAAAAAAGAUAGGAUGGGGGAGGGGGAGGGGGAGAGAAUAGCUGGGUGAUAUUAGCUGGUCUUUGUUGUUGGAGAAAACGUAUGAACGGAGCAGUUGGAGGUGCUUCCACAAUGUGGGUUGUCUCGUUACAAAUUUACUCUUGAGAUAGAGAAAGUGUGGAAGGGAAGUUGAAGAGAGAAGGGUAUAUGAAUUGCCAUAUACGAAAAAUUAUGUAAAUGUUUAAGGGAGUGGGGAUGUUUUUUCUUAUAGUAAAUGUGUUUGUUGUUUAUAUUGAGUUGGUUGAGUAACACCUUCGAUUAUGUUAUUUUUGGGUCCUGAUGCUUGAGGAUUCAGGUUGUUACAAUGCGUAUCAUUUGUAAAUUAUGUAUACUUCUUUAUCUACAACACUUUUCGUGAUUUUGAAGUUUUAUUUUCACAAAAAUAGUUAAGAUGUAUCAAAUAAGAUCCAUAUUGGGAUGGAGAGAGUAUUUGUUUAAAAAGAA